UACAGAGGUCCCAAGCGUUGUUCGGAUUCACUGGGCGUAAAGGGCGCGUAGGCGGCCUUCUAAGUCGAACGUGAAAUCCCCGGGCUCAACCGGGGAACUGCGUCUGAUACUGGAUGGCUUGAGUUUGGGAGAGGGACGCGGAAUUCCAGGUGUAGCAGUGAAAUGCGUAGAUAUCGAGAGGAACACCAGUGGCGAAGGCGAGUCUCUAGGCAACUCCUGACACUGAGGCACGAAAGCUAGGGGAGCAAACAGG
rnacentral:rRNA from 1 species